GUGCCAGCCGCCGCGGUAAUACGUAGGGGGCAAGCGUUGUCCGGAAUUAUUGGGCGUAAAGAGCGCGUAGGCGGUCCGGUAAGUCGGUUGUGAAAGUCGGGGGCUCAACCCUCGGAUGCCGAUCGAUACUGUCGGGCUAGAGUCCGGAAGAGGCGAGUGGAAUUCCUGGUGUAGCGGUGAAAUGCGCAGAUAUCAGGAGGAACACCAAUGGCGAAGGCAGCUCGCUGGGACGGUACUGACGCUGAGGCGCGAAAGCGUGGGGAGCAAACAGGAUUAGAUACCCUGGUAGUCCACGCCGUAAACGAUGGACACUAGGUGUGGGAGGUGUCGACUCCUCCCGUGCCGUAGCUAACGCAUUAAGUGUCCCGCCUGGGGAGUACGGCCGCAAGGCUAAA
rnacentral:rRNA from 1 species